CAUUUUAAAAGUUUUAUUUUCUUCUACGAUAUUCACCAGAGAUUUAAGAUAAGAAACCAUACACUGUUGUGAGAAUCAGCGAGUGUCGCCUAGAAAUCAGUCAUGGUUAAUAUCUGAGAAGCUAAGAGGUUAUUGUGUACUUGUGUACCAGACACCAUAUUUGGUAUGAUUCGAGUGUCAAAUAAGGACAAUAAAUUUUAAGGUCAGAAUAUAAGAAACAAAACAUAUGACAUAUACCAAUGUGAAUAAAGACUCUAGUUUUCACUUAAAGAUUACACUCUGUUAGUUAUGUGCAAAGAACUCGUCAAGUCAAAGAUAUCAUGCUUAUAAUUUUGGUAAAUAAAGGC
rnacentral:lncRNA from 1 species